UGUGGAGGAAAAUGAGAUCCCGAGUGAAGUCUACAAUGUCAUUGACUCUGAAGAAGGACUCAGAGACCCAUUGGUGUUUAAUGACCCUUACUGGCCUAUGCAAUGGGAACUGGCUCAGCUAUAUAUGAUCACAGGCCCAUCCCCUAAAACUUAUAUGGAAACUUGAAUGAUGUCAGCUUCUAAAGGACACUGUAUGAAGGACUGGAUUGCCAGUGGCUCAAUUUUCCUACAUAAUUCAGAGUUGUGGCUUGGGCAAUGCCAAGAACCACAUCUGCACUGAAAUCAAUUAUCUGUUGGUUGCUUUCACACUGACUUCGGCUUGACUCAGGAGUAGUCUUGGUGGAUUCUUGGAUGUGCUACUGGGGAGGCUACCGAUGUGCAGAACAAGCUCCCAAUCAGCCACGUGACCGCAAAGAUGACUUCCACUAACAUAGAUGGAGGAUGUGUAGCUCAUUUCAGUGGGACAUCCAGAGUCCUGUCUACAGUGGUUGGAGUUCUGGCUUAAAUUCAAGCAGCUGAAAACACAAGAAAUAAGAAGACCGUUUGAGAAGAGCAGAUAGUUGCCUUAAGAAAAUUCCUGUCAUAUGCACUCUGGGAUUUGGACUCAAAUCCUAAUUAUACAGUAAGUGAAAUGAACACAGACUUUACAUUAACCUAAUGUAAAGCUGCAGAACUGUGAUACCUGUUCAAUUUGGUUAAAGGAAUUGAAGGUGGUGGCUUUUUUUUUUUUUUUUUUUUUUUUUUGGCAGAAAGGGUUAUUUGUGACAGUUGACAAAGUAGAUAUUUUUGGUUGUCUAAAGAGAAUAUUAUUUUUCUCCCUAUUCCUUACACCUUUUUAAAAAGCCAAACAGGGAGUUCCUGUGGUGGUACAAUGGUGAUGAACCCAUCUAGUAUCCAUGAGGAUACAGGUUCGAUCCUUGGCCUUGCUCAAUGAAUAAGGGAUCCAGCAUUGUCAUGAGCUGUGGUGUAAGUCACAGAUGCAGCUCGGAUCUGACAUUGCUGUGGCUGUGGUAUAAACUGGCAGCUACGGCUCCAAUUCAGCCCCUAGCUUGGGAAUUUCCAUAUGCCUAGGCUGUGGCCCUAAAAUGACAAAAAAAAAUAAAAAUAAAAAGGAAUAUUUUUAUUAUCUAACUUUUAAAUCAAAAACAUUUCCUUUUCCAAAUUAUAUUCAUUAUAAUUUUGAUAUAUAGUACAAAUUAAUACUUCUUGAAUUUCAACAUGUAUAAGUAGAACGUCUAUUGAAUUAUUUUUGUCAUAUUAAUUUUUGAUCAAGGGGUAAUUUUUUUUUAUCAAAGAAUACACCAACAAAUCAAAGCUAGUCAACAAAGAGCAUGGCCUCAGUUCACAAAAGUGGGACAUAUAAAGUAAUGUUGAGGGAAUAUUCAACUAUUUGUAAAUCUAUUUUUAAAAGUUAAGACAGGAGUUCCCAUUGUGGCUCAGUGGUUAAUGAACCCUACUAGUAUCCCUGAGGACGCCUGACCUUGCUCAGUGGGUUAAGGAUCUGGCAUUGCUGUGAGCUGUAGUCUAGGUCACAGUUGGGGCUAGGAUCCCACAAUGCUGUGGCUGUGGCGUAGGCUGUAGCUACAGCUCCAAUUUGCCCCCUAGUCUGGGAAUCUCCAUAUGCUGCAGAUGCAGUCCAAAUAAAUAAAUAAAUAAAUAAAUAAAAUAAAAGUUAAGGCAAUAUAGCAGAGUUAUUUUUCUACCAAGCAAAAUAUUAUCUAGCCAUUGGUUCCUCCAAACAAAUGGAAUGGAACAAUGACUCCAGAAUUUUUUUCCUGAAUGAAGUUUUCCCAUGGCUAGUGACUACAUAAGAAUAAGACCCAAGGGCACCACCUGGGACACACAGAUGGUUGUAAAUGCCCCCUACUCUCAAGAGUAUCAAAAUACCUGCAUAAGUAAACUUAAGGAUGCUUUCUGUUUGAAUCUCAAGUUCACAUCCUUCUAUCAAAUGGCUAUAGAGCAACCAUACACACUACAUUUGAUGGGUAAGAUUCUGGCAGGUUUUCCUUAACAUAUUCUUUGGCAGUCAUUUCUAUGGGCAAAUGUAGGAGAAGCAGUGACUGACAGGCAGUCUCUAAUAGCACUGGCAGAGCAUAAUGGAGCUACUCAGAAGCAUAGUUUUCAGUGCACUGAAUUGCAUUCAUUUGUUUACGUGGUGAUCUUUCUUUGGAGAUUUGUCCUCACAAGGGCAGGGCCUGUUUUAUAUUUGUCUUGAGAAAUCUCACACACCCCAAUACCUAGCACAAAACUGGACAUAUGAUAAGCACUCAGUAAGCAUUGCUUAGAUUAAGUAACCAAGGUAGAGUGUGUUCUUGUGUUCAAGAGAGAACUUACUAAAGUGUUCUAAAUAUGGGAGUUCCCAUCGUGGCUCAGGGGGUAAAGAACUCAACUAGUAUCCAUGAGGAUUCAGGUUCAACCCUUGCCCUUGCUCAGUGGGUUAAGGAUCUAGCCUGCUGCAAGCUACAGUGUAGGCUGCUGCAGAUGUGUCUCAGAUCCGGCAUGACUGUGGCUGUGGCUGCAGCUCUGAUUGGACCCCUAACCUGGAACUUCCAUAUGCUGCAGGUGUGGCCCUUAAAAAAAAAAAAAAAAAAA
ensembl:lncRNA